UGCAGUCGAACGCUGAAGCCUGGUGCUUGCACCGGGUGGAUGAGUGGCGAACGGGUGAGUAACACGUGAGUAACCUGCCCCUGACUUCGGGAUAAGCCCGGGAAACUGGGUCUAAUACCGGAUACGACUGCCGGACGCAUGUCUGGUGGUGGAAAGUUUUUUCGGUUGGGGAUGGGCUCGCGGCCUAUCAGUUUGUUGGUGAGGUAAUGGCUCACCAAGACGACGACGGGUAGCCGGCCUGAGAGGGCGACCGGCCACACUGGGACUGAGACACGGCCCAGACUCCUACGGGAGGCAGCAGUGGGGAAUAUUGCACAAUGGGGGAAACCCUGAUGCAGCGACGCAGCGUGCGGGAUGACGGCCUUCGGGUUGUAAACCGCUUUCAGCAGGGAAGAAGCGCAAGUGACGGUACCUGCAGAAGAAGUACCGGCUAACUACGUGCCAGCAGCCGCGGUAAUACGUAGGGUACGAGCGUUGUCCGGAAUUAUUGGGCGUAAAGAGCUCGUAGGUGGUUGGUCACGUCUGCUGUGGAAACGCAACGCUUAACGUUGCGCGUGCAGUGGGUACGGGCUGACUAGAGUGCAGUAGGGGAGUCUGGAAUUCCUGGUGUAGCGGUGAAAUGCGCAGAUAUCAGGAGGAACACCGGUGGCGAAGGCGGGACUCUGGGCUGUAACUGACACUGAGGAGCGAAAGCAUGGGGAGCGAACAGGAUUAGAUACCCUGGUAGUCCAUGCCGUAAACGUUGGGCACUAGGUGUGGGGGGCAUUCCACGUUCUCCGCGCCGUAGCUAACGCAUUAAGUGCCCCGCCUGGGGAGUACGGUCGCAAGGCUAAAACUCAAAGGAAUUGACGGGGGCCCGCACAAGCGGCGGAGCAUGCGGAUUAAUUCGAUGCAACGCGAAGAACCUUACCAAGGCUUGACAUACACCGGACCGUCCUGGAAACAGGUCCUCUUCUUUGAAGCUGGUGUACAGGUGGUGCAUGGUUGUCGUCAGCUCGUGUCGUGAGAUGUUGGGUUAAGUCCCGCAACGAGCGCAACCCUCGUUCUAUGUUGCCAGCACGUGAUGGUGGGAACUCAUAGGAGACUGCCGGGGUCAACUCGGAGGAAGGUGGGGAUGACGUCAAAUCAUCAUGCCCUUUAUGUCUUGGGCUUCACGCAUGCUACAAUGGCUGGUACAGAGAGAGGCGAACCCGUGAGGGCAAGCGAAUCCCUUAAAGCCAGUCUCAGUUCGGAUCGUAGUCUGCAAUUCGACUACGUGAAGUCGGAGUCGCUAGUAAUCGCAGAUCAGCAAC
rnacentral:rRNA from 1 species